rnacentral:rRNA from 1 species
ACGUAGGGGGCCAGCGUUGCUCGGAAUUACUGGGCGUAAAGGGUCCGUAGGCGGUGUGGCAAGUCGGRAGUGAAAUCUCUGGGCUUAACUCAGAGGCUGCUYCCGAAACUGCYGUGCUAGAGUGYGAGAGAGGCGAGUGGAAUUGCGGGUGUAGCGGUGAAAUGCGUAGAUAUCCGCAGGAACAUCCGAGGCGAAAGCGGCUCGCUGGAUCRCARCUGACGCUGAGGGACGAAAGCUAGGGGAGCAAACAGGAUUAGAUACCCUGGUAGUCCUAGCCCUAAACCAUCAGGACUUGGGGUUUGCCCUGUACGGGGCAAGUCCCGUAGCUAACGCGUUAAGUCCUGCGCCUGGGGAGUACGGUCGCAAGRCUGAAACUCAAAG